UACGUAGGGUGCAAGCGUUAUCCGGAAUUAUUGGGCGUAAAGAGCUCGUAGGCGGUUUGUCGCGUCUGCUGUGAAAACCCGAGGCUCAACCUCGGGCCUGCAGUGGGUACGGGCAGACUAGAGUGCGGUAGGGGAGAUUGGAAUUCCUGGUGUAGCGGUGGAAUGCUCAGAUAUCAGGAGGAACACCGAUGGCGAAGGCAGAUCUCUGGGCCGUAACUGACGCUGAGGAGCGAAAGCGUGGGGAGCGAACAGG
rnacentral:rRNA from 1 species